CAGUAGCCGCGGUAAUACGAAGGGUGCAAGCGUUAAUCGGAAUUACUGGGCGUAAAGCGCGCGUAGGCGGUGAGUUAAGUCUGCUGUGAAAUCCCCGGGCUCAACCUGGGAAUGGCAGUGGAUACUGGCUCGCUAGAGUGUGUCAGAGGAUGGUGGAAUUCCCGGUGUAGCGGUGAAAUGCGUAGAGAUCGGGAGGAACAUCAGUGGCGAAGGCGACUAUCUGGGCCAACACUGACACUGAGGCACGAAAGCGUGGGGAGCAAACAGGAUUAGAUACCCCCGUAGUCCCUGUCUCUUAUAU
rnacentral:rRNA from 1 species